GAUGAACGCUGACAGAAUGCUUAACACAUGCAAGUCAACUUGAACUUCGGUUUGGGUGGCGGACGGGUGAGUAACGCGUAAAGAACUUGCCUCACAGCUAGGGACAACAUUUGGAAACGAAUGCUAAUACCUGAUAUUAUGAUUAUAUGGCAUCGUAUAAUUUUGAAAGCUAUAUGCGCUGUGAGAGAGCUUUGCGUCCCAUUAGCUAGUUGGAGAGGUAACAGCUCACCAAGGCGAUGAUGGGUAGCCGGCCUGAGAGGGUGAUCGGCCACAAGGGGACUGAGACACGGCCCUUACUCCUACGGGAGGCAGCAGUGGGGAAUAUGGGACAAUGGACCGAGAGUCUGAUCCAGCAAUUCUGUGUGCACGAUGAAGUUUUUCGGAAUGUAAAGUGCUUUCAGUUGGGAAGAAAAAAAUGACGGUACCAACAGAAGAAGUGACGGCUAAAUACGUG
rnacentral:rRNA from 1 species